AAGACUGAGUAACCAUCAGAAUGAAAACCUAGCUGAACAUAUAUUUUUAGGCAUCAUUUAAGUAUAUAAGCUGAGAAAUGCAUUAUGGCCAAUAUGAAUGUUAUGUCCACCCACUAUGAAGCCACAGGAGAGACUAUAUUUGGAAUUGAAUGGACAGGCUGUUUGGUGUUGUGUGGGCACAGUCAAACUCUGAGUGCCAGUGCUAUGUGGCAGGAGCAUGACUUGUCAAGAGCUUCCUGCCUGCCCCUCCCUACCCCACAGCCACAGGAAAGGAGACAGGGAAGAUGUAAAUCGUAUGCUCCUAACUCUGCUGAUAUUGACCGACUUUGGGGAGUGCCAAAGCAACCAAAAAAACCCGUUGCCAUCCAGUCGAUUCAGACUUAUAGUGACCCUAUAAGACAGAGUAGAACUACCUCAUAGCGUUUCCAAGGAGCAGCUGGUGGAUUCUAACUGCCAACCUUUUGGUUAGCAGCCAAGCUCGUAACCACUGUGCCAUCAGGGCUCUGCCAAAGCAACAGAAGAAGAAGGAAUGGAAGGAAAAACAGAGAGAACAAAGGAAGAGGUGAGAAAGAAAGAUGACUGAACUUAUCACUAAGAUGAAAAAGGUCAGGGCUUGGGGAAAUGAACUCAUCUAUGGACAAGAAAUAAGGAAGACCAAAGAAGACUUGAUGCCUUUAAAUUGUGGCGUUGGCAAAGAAUAUUGAAUAUACCAUGGACUGCAAAAGAACAAACAUAUCUGUCUUGAAGAAGUACAACCAGAACGCUCCUUAGAAGCGAGGAUAGGGAGACUUCAUCUCACAUAUUUGGGACAUGUUAUCAGGAGGGAUCAGUUCCUGGAAAGGAUAUCAUGCUUGGUAGAGGAUCAUCGAAAAAGAGGAAGACCCUCAGCAAGGUG